UACGAAGGGGGCUAGCGUUGUUCGGAAUUACUGGGCGUAAAGCGCACGUAGGCGGCGAUUCAAGUCAGAGGUGAAAGCCCGGGGCUCAACCCCCGGAACUGCCUUUGAAACUAGAUUGCUAGAAUCCUGGAGAGGUGAGUGGAAUUCCGAGUGUAGAGGUGAAAUUCGUAGAUAUUCGGAAGAACACCAGUGGCGAAGGCGGACUAACUGGCCGUGUAUACGCUGAGGUGCGAAAGCG
rnacentral:rRNA from 1 species